rnacentral:lncRNA from 1 species
AAAAACCUACUCAAAGAGGAUAAUAGAGGAAGAGGACUAAAAGAUGCGCAGCAAUAUUACGGAACCCCACCCUCUCUCGUUCAUCAUCUUCUUCAAGCAGCCAUCCAUAAAUUUUUCUGGACGAAAAUAGAAACCCCCCUCCCCCGUCGGAUUCUGGGCCUCUCUUUCACAAUUCAAGAGCUAGCUUCAUCUUCUAAAAGAGAAGCAGUCACCAUCUCCCGACAUUGAGACCUAGCGGAACGAUACUAGCAAAGAACGCAACAAAUGAUCUAGCAAACCCCAGUAGCUCUGGCUUCUUCAUCCCACUCCGGAAAUCGAUUCUGAAGCCAUGUAAAUUUAUCUCCGCUAGGUUACUGCUUUUCCCGGCGUUUCACUGGAGUUGCGCCAUCUCCGAUCAGCUCUUUUGCUAUAAAACAUAACAGCUUCAGUUUAUUUAACCAUUGUUGGUCUCUUAAGUUGAAUCCAGCCCGUCAAGGUCGUCGAGGUCUCCGGCGAGUUGUUUGUUUGAAUUUCCGUUACCGAGCUUCACUUCAUUGUUAAAAGGAUUUCUGGGAUUUGUAAAGGUCCAUUUUCUCGUUCAUUCUUUCUUGAUGAUUAUUAGCUUGUUAAAAUAAGGUCAAAUGCUUUCACCUCAGUAAAUGCCUCCAUAUGUGCGUUGUUUGCUCUGUUACACAUAAAGCCAC